UUUUUUUUUUUUUUUUUUUUUUUUUGUCAGAGAAAAAUUGUGACUACAAACUUCUUGGGUAGAGUAUUUUGCUUAACUAUAAUGAGGAAAAAUCUUGGUUUUUAAACAAUUGACCUUCUGUCAGUAGUUGCUUUACUUAGUUUUUGUAUUUUAUGAUACCCAUUAAUAAUAUUUGUCCCUCCCUUUAACUUUAUGGAUAUUUUCAGGAUAUUUAAAAAUUAAAAAAUUAUUGAAAAUUGAGGUGGAACUAAUCCUAAUCUAAGAUAUUGAUGAUUUUGCUCAUAAACGGUGUUCCAGAUGUUUACUGAAGUAUAUACUCUGAGAAAAAAACCCUAGAUUUUCUGUAGGUCACAGAAGGGAACUAACAAUUUGAUUUUAGGCUUAUAUGCUUCGUUUGUUAGCUGAAUUCUUUUCCAGUAAAAUUGAUCAUUGUUUUUGUUAAAAAUCUGUUAUUAACUGCAGUUUACCCUUCUACAAGGAACUGUACAUUCUCAAUGUUUGCCAGCAUUUUUAGCUAUAUAGUGGUGUUAACAGAAUCUGAGACUCUUACAGCAUUACGAUUUUCUUUAUUCAUAUGAAUAAGAGCAGAAAAAUAAAUACUAUAUAUAGAAAUGUCAUUUAAUACAGUGAAUAUAUACGUUGAUAUACUAUAUUAAAGUAUUUUAUGAUUACAUUUUUGAAUGAAGAGAAAAUGCGACAUUUCAAACAGACAUUCUGUUCUACUUGAAACUUAACAAUUGAGAUGGAUGCUAGUAAGAUUAAGGCAAGACAAACUGGAUAUAACAGGGGUGGAAAAUGACUUGUGCUAUCAAAAAGAGCUAAACUGGAUUAUUUGUGAGCUCUGAUAAUAUAUUCCUUAGUUCUCUGAGUUACACACAUUCACUGGGUAUUCUGUGUGCCAAGUCCUGAAGAAAUAAUGAACAAGAUCCAUGUUUGCUAUUGCACAUGAAUUCUCAUAUGAGAGAGAGAAAGUAAUAUGUAAACAAAUAAGGUUAAAAUUCUAGAUGCUAAAUUCAACUUUCAGAUUUAAGUUGGAUAGUGUUUUCAAAGUAGGGAUCAUACUGCUAGGUAGGUAAUAGGGGUAAAUGGAGAGUUACUUCUUUCCAACCCUUUUCUCACUACAGGUAGUAGUAAAUAAAUCAAAUAUGGAAAACAUGAACAGAUUUCAAAGUGAGCUCCAACUGUUAGGAAUAAGAUUAAAGAGAGUAUAAAGGAUGGGAUUAUUCAGCAUAAACAAAAUUUAGAGAAUACCUUAGUAAGAGAUUCUAAUUUAGGUGAAGGAUAGUGAUUACCAGUUCUCUUCCUCCACUGAGAAAGAAUGAAAAAUUAUUUUUUUAAAUACCUGUAAUUAUGGAAAAUUUCAAUCACACAUACAUAAACAAAAAUAGUAUAGUGAACCCUCCUGUGCCUAUCACCCAGCUUCAGUUGUUUCAUUUCUUAUGUCAAUAUUACUUCUUAUCUACUCCCUACUCCCACUGGAUUUUUUCAAAAUAGUUUUUAAAAUAAAAUAUACAUAAUGCUCAAGCUUAACUGCUUUUGAUACAUGCUUAUAUCAUGUAAGACUCAUUUUCACUCGAUAUUGGACAUUUCUGUCACCUCGGAAAUGUCCAUAGUGAACAUUUCCAUUUGAUCCCCUUGCUUCUCAUUCAUGCCUCUCCCACCUUCCCCACCUUGAAGGCAUCUACUGUUCUUUUUCUCUUUUAAACCAUGGAUUACUUUUGCCUGCUCUACAGUUGCAUAUACAUGGUAUCAUACAGUUCAUACUCUUUGUGCCUGGCUUGUUUUACAUAAUAUUUGAGAUUAUUCUAGGUUGUUGAAUAUAUGAGUAUUUUUAUUGCUGAGUAAUAGCCUGUUACAUGAAUAUACCACAGUGUUAUUUGUGACAGAUGUAAUCACUGUUAUGAAUAAAGCAAGAGUGUUCUUACAUGAGGCCUUUAGUAGAAUAUGUUCUUAUUUCUUAGUUAAAUACCUGGGGGUAGAUUUACUGGCUCAUAGGCUAAAUGUAUGCUUAGCUCUAUGAUAAACUGCUAAAGCUGUUGUAGUAUUACCUACCAGUAAUAGGUGAGUUCGGGUAGUACUCUCACCAACAAUUGUUUGUUUUCAAUUUUGUAAAUUUUAUUUAUUUAUUUAAAUCUUUUUAGGGCUGUACCAUUGCAUAAGGAGGUUCCUAGACUAGGGGUUGAAUUGGAGCUGUAGCCACCGGCCUCCAGCACGGCCACAGCUAUGCAGGAUCUGAGCAACGUCUGUGACGUACACCACAGCUCACGGUAGUGUCAGAUCCUUAAGCCACUGAGUGAGGCCAGAGGUCAAACCUGCAUCCUCAUGGAUGCUAGUCAGAUUAAUUUCCACUGACCCACGACAGGAACUCCCAAUCUUGUAAAUUUUAAUCCUUCUAAUAGGUAUGUAGUUUGUGGAAUUAAUAUGUAUUUCUCUUUCUGUGUUAAUUUAUAUUUCUGUGACAAAUACUGGUCAUAACCACUUUUUUUCAUGUACUUAUUAGCCAUUUGUGUACCUUUUGUGAAAUAUCUCUUUAAUUUUUGUCCAUGUUUUAAUUGGGUUGAGUUUUUAUUGAGUUGUAAGAGUCUUUUAGUUCCUCAAUUGUUUUGUCUCUUCUAGGCCUUUAUGUUUCCAUUAUGAAUUUUAGAAUAAGUUUAUCAAUUUAUAUAAAAAAGAUUAUGAUUGUGCUGGGACUAGAAUUGGGGUUGUGUUAAUUUAUACAUGACCUUGAAGAAAAGAAACUUUUUCUUUGGCAAUAUUGAAACUUCAAAUCAUGAACAUGGUGUAUCUCCCCACUUAGUAAAUCUUUAUCUCAGCAGUAUUUUGCAGUUUUUGGUGAGGUCUUGCAUCUUUUGUUAAAUUUAUUACUAAGUAUUUUAUGCUGUAUGAUGAAGUUGUAAAUGGAAUUUUUGAAUAUAUUAGAUAAAAGUUAUUUUGUUUUUAAUUUUUAAAAAAAUUUUUAAUUUUCUGUCCUUUUUUUUUUUGCCUUUUCUAGGGCUGCUCCUGCAGCAUAGGGAGGUUCCCAGGCUAGGGGUCUAAUCAGAGCUGUAGCCGCCAGCCUACACCACAGCCACAGCAAUGCCAGAUCUGAGCCAUGUCUGUGACCUACACCAUAGCUCACGGCAAAGCCGGAUCCUUCAACCCACUGAGCAAGGCUAGGGAUCGAACCCUCAACCUCAUGGUUCCUAGUUGGUUCAUUAACCGCUGAGCCACGAUGGGAACAACUCCUUUUGUUUUUCAAUUGUGGUAAAAUACACCAAUGUAAAACUUACAUUAUAACUUUUUUAAGUGUACGGUACAAUAAUAUAUAUUUCACGUUGUUGUAUAACCAAUCUCCAGGACUUUAUCUUGUAAAUCUCUAAACAAGUUUAUCUUGAAACUCUAAACCCAUUAAGCUGUAAUUUCCUAUUUGUCCUUACCCCAGUCUUUGGCAGCCCCUGUUCUACUUUGUGUUUCUCUGAAUUGACUACUCUAGAAACCUCAUAUGAAGGGAGCAAUACAGUAUUUGUCUUUUGGGGAAGGGUUUAUUUCACUUAGCAUAAUGUCUUCAAUAUUGGAACAUGUCAAAAUAUUUUUCCUUUUUAAGGCUUAUAUUACCAUUGUAUGUAUAUACCAUAUUUUGUUCACCUGUUCAUCAGUUGGUGAACAUUUGGUUGCUUUCAUCUUUUUGCUGCUUCCAGUAAUGCUGUUAUAAACUUGUGUACAAAUACCUUGCCAAGACUUUGCUUUUUUAAAAAGAAUUAAUUUUAUUGAAAUAUAGCUGAUUUACGUUUUGAUUUCUGCUGUAUAACAAAGUGAAUUAGCUAUACAUAUAUCCAUUUCCAUAUAGAGUAUCAUAGAAAAUUGAGUAGCUUUCUCUGUGGUAUACAACAGGUCCCCAAUGAUCAUCCAUUACAUAUACAAAAGUAUGCACUUGCCAUUCCCAAACCCCUAGUGCAUCCCUCCUACUCCCACUUUUCUUCCCCUUUGGUAACCAUAUGUUUGUUUUCAAAGUCUGUGAGUCUGUUUCUAUUUUGUAAAUAAGUUCAUUUGUAUCAUUUAAAAAAAUUCCAAAUAUAAAUGAUAUUAUGUGAUGCCUGUCUUUCUCUGUCUGACUUAUUUCACUCAGUAUGAAAAUCUCUAGGUCCAUCCAUGUUUCUGCAAAUGGCAUCAUUUCAUUCUUUUUUAUGGCUGAUAUAUAUAUAUAUAUAUCUAUAUAUAUAUAUAUAAUCACAUCUUCUUUAUCCAUUCCUCUGUCAGUGGGCAUUUAGGUUGCUUCCAUGUUUGGCUAUUAUAAAUAUUUGCAGUGAACAUUGGGGUGCAUGUAUAUUUUUGAAUUAUGGUUUUCUCUGGAUAGAUGCCCAGGAGUGAGAUUGCUGGAUCAUAUGGUAGUUCUAUUUUUAGCAGGUUUUUUUGUCCUCUUUUUUUUUUUUUUUUGGGCUGCUCCUGUGACAUGCAAAAUUUCCUGGGCCAGGGAUCGAACCCAUGCCACAGCUGUAACCAGAGUCACAGCGGUGUCAGUGCAAGAUCCUUAACCCACUAAGCCAUGAGGGAACUUCUAUUUUUGUUUUUUUGACAAACCUCUGUACUGUUUUCCAUUUUAUAUACUGUUGUACCAAUUUACCUUCCCAUUAGCAGUGGGGGGGGUCCCUUUUCUCCAGCACCUUCUCCAGCAUUUAUUGAUUGUAGACUUUUUGAUGAUGGCCAUUAUGACUGGUGUGAGAUGAUACCUCAUUAUAGUUUUGGUUUGUAUUUUUCUAAUAAUUUGCAAUGUUGAGUCUUUUUUCAUGUGCUUUUGGCCAUGUGUAUGUUUUCUUUGGAAAAUUGUCUCUUUAGAUCUUCUGCCCAUUUUUUGAUUGGGUUGCUUGUUUUUCCUUUUUUUCUUUUUUGACAUUAAGCUGAGUGGUUUGUGUAUUUUGAAUAUUAAUCCCUUGUCAGUUGCUUUGUAUGCACCUAUUUUCUCCCAUUCUGUUGGUUGCCUUUUUUGUUUUAUUUAUGAUUUCCUUUUCUGUGCAAAAGCUUUUAAGCUUGAUUAGUGCUUGUUUUUUUUAUUUUUUUAUUUUCAUUAUUCUCAGAGGUGGAUCCAAAAAGAUAUGGCUGUGAUUUAUGUCAAAAAGUGUUCUGCCAAAUGUUUUCCUCUAAGAGUCUUAUAGUGUCCACUCUUAACAUUUAGUUCUUUUAUCAAUUAUGAGUUUAUUUUUGUGUCUGGUAUUAGAGAGUGUUUUAAUUUUAUUCUUUGAUAUGUAGCUGUUUAGUUUUCCCUGCACCACUUAUUGAAGAGACUCUCUUCUCUUCAUGGUAUAUUCUUGCCUCUUUGUCAAAGAUGAAUUGACCAUAGGUGUGUGGAUUUAUUUCUGGGCUUUCUAUCUUAUUUCAUUGGUCUAUAUUUCUGUUUUUGCACCAGUACCAUACUGUUUUGAUAACUGUAGCUUUAUAGUAUAGCCUGAAGUCAGGGACCAUGAUUCUUCUAGCUUUGUUCUUAUUUUUCAAGAUUGUUUUCUAUUUGGGGCCUUUGUGUUUCCAUACAAAUUUUAAAAUUAUUUGUUCUAGUUCUGUGAAAAAUGCCCUUGGUAUUUUGAAAAGGAUCACUUUGAAUUUGUAGAUUGCCUUGGGAAGUAUGGUCUUUUAACAAUAUUAAUUCUUCUAAUUUCAUGAACACAGUAUAUGGUCAUUUUUAUGUUAAUUCUUCUAAUUCAUGAACACGGUAUAUCAUGUUUGUGUCAUCUUUAAUUUCUUUUAUCAGUGUCCAAUAGUAUUCUGAGUACAUGUCUUUUACCUUGAACCUUAGGUAGGUUUAUUUUUAAGUAUUUAAUUUUUUAUGAUGCGGUGAUACAUGGGAUUGUUUCCUUAAUUUCCAAUACCGACAGCUCAUUGUUAGUGUGUAGAAAUGCAAGAGGUUUCUGUGUAUUAAUUUUGUAUCUUGUAACUUUUCUGAAUUAAUUGAUGAGCUCUAGUAGUUUUCUGGUGGUAGAAUUCUAGUUUUAUUGUUGACUACCUUUGUUGCAUUGGGCUCUCUCAGUUUUAGCUGCUAGUGGUAUUGCCUCUCUCUUUCUCUCUUUCUCAAAAGUACUCACAAGAAGCUUUAAAAAUGAUGUUUUUUUUAAGUAGAGUAAAAUAUAAACUGAUAGAAGUUUUUAACUUUUUUUGCUAUAAAAAGUAUUGUUUUCUUAGAGCUCCUAGAAUUGAAAACCUUAGCAUCUCUCUAGGAAAAAAAUAACAUUUUAUAUAAUGUAUUCGGGCUGAAAAAGUUCAGCUGUCAUCAGCUAGAUGAGGGCUCUCUUCAGACCUUUUAGUUCUAGUUUUUCUAGUUCUUAUUUUCUUUUGUAUAUUUUAAAAGAUUUUUGCUUGUUAUUUAAUUUUAGCACAGCAUUCUUUAGUGUGAGAAGUCAGAUUUUCAAUAUACAUCAUGAAUUUCACUUUAAUUUGGUAUAGGACAUAUGCCCUUAAAACAGCUACACAAAAAUCGUUCUAAACCAAAAGCACCUAGCACAAACCAUUACUCACUUAAUUUAGACAUUAUUUAUUGUAAUAAAAUCUCUCCACAACAUAAUUCUAAAAAACAAACAUAAGUCUGCUAUAUGAGGUUUCAUAAAUUAAUACUCAGUUUUAUUAAAUAAUUCCCUAACUUAAUAUUUUAAUUACUUGGCUUGUUAUAUACAAAUAUGACAGUUUUUUUUUUUUUAGCAAAACAUCUAUUAUCAAAGCCAUAAUCAUUUAUAGAAUAUUUGGCAGUUAACAUCUCUAUUGCUGUGGCCCUUUUUUGUUUUUAUGGCUGCACCUGCAGCAUAUGAAAGUUCCCAGGCUAGGGGUUGAAUUGGAGCUGCAGCCACAGCCACAGCAACACUGGAUCUGAGCUGCAUCUGUGACCUAUGCUGUACCUUGCAGCAAUGCCGGAUCCUUAACCCACUGAGGGAGGCCAGGGAUUGAGCCUGAAAACUCACAGACCUCUGUCAGGUUUUUAACCCACUGAGCCACAGGAGAACCUCCCCCCAUUGGUAUGACUCUUAAUCUUUCUUUUUCUGAGGAGUACAGGCAGAGGGUAUGACCCAGUGCCAUUAGUAAUAAUAGUUUGCUAAUUCAUUUAUUACAUAUACUUACCAUGUUGCCUGGUUUGCACUUAGUAAAUACUAUUUAAUUUAUUCAGAAUACUUGAUUAACCCGUUGAGUUUGUGCUCUCUUUGCACAAGAUAUGGUGUAUAUAGAUCACAUUUAGUUACUCCGGGUUUUGUUGAAAUACGAUGAUGGUGGCAUUUAAAAAACUAUUUUACUAAAGGUAUCAUAUCUUUUUUCUGGGUGAUCUGGUGCAUUUUAAAAUGAGUAACUAGAUUAAUUUCUCUGCAUUUAGUUUAAUAACUAGCCCUUUUCUUUAUAUUUUGAUUUUUUUUGUUUUUUUGUUUUUGUUGUUGUUGGACCUAGUAAUUUUUCUCUUUUUUCCCUUGGAUUUUGGUUUAGUAAUUUGGUUUAUUUACUCCUAAAGAAUUUUGUAUAUACUGCAAUUGACAGGUCUAAUGAUGAGUCAUUUUCUAAAAAUGAUUGUAAAAAUGGCUGAUGAGAAUUUUGAUUGCAUUUUUCUGUAGAGGCAAGGAAAUAUUUAAAUUAUGUUUUAGGGUAGUGUCCAAAAAUAUGAAAAUUCUCUAUUAUCAGAGCCAUGUAAUAAGUCUUUCAACUCCUUUCAUUUUAUUAAUUUUUCAGUCAUUCAUUUAUAUAGAGUUGCUACUGUGGAUCAGUUGUUAUCCUGCUUCCUAUUUAUCAAAACAACUUCUCUGCCCUCCUUCAGCCUCAGAUUGUUAAAUACUUUACCACUUUACUCCCUAGUCAUUUUAUUCAUUCCUCGGCUAUCAGUAUAGUCAGACCUCCAUAUCUCUGGAUUCCACACCUGCAGAUUCAGCUAAGGAUCAAAAGUAUUGGGGAAAAAAUAUUCCAGAAAGUUCCAAAAAACAAAACUUGAAUUUGUGGCACUGGCAACUAUUUACAUAAUAUUUACAUUGUAUUUCCUACUAUUUAUAUAGCAUCUACAUUGCAUUAGGCAUUCUAAAUAAUAUAGAAAUGAUUUAAAGUAUACUAGAGGAUGUGCAUAGGUUAUAUGCAGAUAUUGUACUAUUUUAUGUAUGACACUUGGAUAUCUGAGGAUUUUGGUAUCUGAGGGUGCUGUGGGAGAGAUGUGCUUGAACCAAUUACCCCCAAGCACCAAGAGAGGACUGCAUUCUUUCUGUGCCUCCCUCCAUGAAGUGUACAAUUAAUGACUUGGAGCUGUUCAAGCAGUUAAACUCAGAUUAGCUCUCUGAACUUGGUUGUUUAAGAAAAUUAUAAUAGAAGUUCCUUUGUGGUGCAACAGGUUAAGGAUCCAGUGUUUUUCCUGCAGUAGCUCAGAUUGAUGCUGUGGUGUGUGUUUGAUCCCAGAACUGCCACAUACCACAAGUGUGACCAAAAAAAAAAAAA
rnacentral:lncRNA from 9 species